rnacentral:rRNA from 1 species
AUGGCGGCCUCGCUCCUCUCGCGCGCCGCCUCGGCCGCCUUCGCCCUCCGCGGCGGCGCCCGGCUCCUCCCCAAGGAAACCCCCCUUCCUCCUCCCCUCCUCCCGCUCCUCCUCAUCCUCCUCGCCACUGCCGCCGGCACGCUCCCCGCGAAACUUGCAGGGCAGGGUCGGAUGGGCGCCGCUGCGGAGGUCGGGUGCGGGGCGUCGCUGUCGCCGUCAAUGACGCCGUUCGGGAUCGCCACACGCUUCAACGCCACGUCGUCGGCCGUCUCGGAGGCCGCCUUCGCCAACGCCGCGUCGGGCGCCGUCCACGCGGUGCCGCGGACCGAGCCUGUGGUGUCCGCCGAGUGGCUGCACGCCAACCUCAGGGACCGUUCUGAGGCUGCUCGGUGCUAA